UUGAACGCUGAUGGUAUGCUUAACACAUGCAAGUCGGACGGCAGCACGGUUGGUAGCAAUACCGAUGGGUGGCGAGUGGCGGACGGGUGAGGAACGCGUAGGAAUCUGCCUUUUGGUGGGGGACAACCUAGGGAAACUUGGGCUAAUACCGCAUAAAACAGAGAUGUUAAAGGCGCGAGUCGCCAAAAGAUGAGCCUGCGUUGGAUUAGCUAGUUGGUAGGGUAAAGGCCUACCAAGGCGACGAUCCAUAGCUGUUCUGAGAGGAAGAUCAGCCACACUGGGACUGAGACACGGCCCAGACUCCUACGGGAGGCAGCAGUGGGGAAUAUUGGACAAUGGGGGAAACCCUGAUCCAGCAAUACCAUGUGUGUGAAGAAGGCCUUAGGGUUGUAAAGCACUUUUGUCAGUGAGGAAGGGGGACGUAAGUCUCCUUGACGUUAGCUGAAGAAAAAGCACCGGCAAACUCUGU
rnacentral:rRNA from 1 species